GAUGAACGCUGGCGGCGUGCCUAAUACAUGCAAGUCGAGCGAACAGACGAGGAGCUUGCUCCUCGGACGUUAGCGGCGGACGGGUGAGUAACACGUGGAUAACCUACCUAUAAGACUGGGAUAACUUCGGGAAACCGGAGCUAAUACCGGAUAAUAUAUUGAACCGCAUGGUUCAAUAGUGAAAGACGGUUUUGCUGUCACUUAUAGCUGGAUCCGCGCCGCAUUAGAUAGUUGGUAAGGUAACGGCUUACCAAGGCGACGAUGCGUAGCCGACCGGAGAGGGUGAUCGGCCACACUGGAACUGAGACACGGACAAGACUCCUACGGGAGGCAGCAGUAGGGAAUCUUCCGCAAUGGGCGGAAGCCUGACGGAGCAACGCCGCGUGUGUGAUGAAGGUCUUCGGAUCGUAAAGCUCUGUUAUUAGGGAAGAACAAAUGUGUAAGUAACUAUGCACGUCUUGACGGUACCUAAUCAGAAAGCCACGGCUAACUACGUG
rnacentral:rRNA from 1 species